GUAGCUUCUACAUGUUUGGAAUCUGCAUCUCUUUGACAUACCAAAACACAUUUAUUUCCUGCAUGGAUAUGGGAACCCGAACCUUCAAAAUACAAUCUAUAUGGAGGUGCAGCAGCAAAAGGUCCUUCAAUUGACCAAGUAGCAGAAAUUAGAGUCUGAGGCAGUUCUGGUUUAAAUCUCCAAGCUAUUUCCCAUGACCUCUCCUUCUUU
rnacentral:misc_RNA from 1 species